rnacentral:lncRNA from 1 species
CGGCGGUACCACAAAGUCAGCCACCUGGAUCCUCACACCUUCUGCCUCCCUGACCAGGGAGAAGGAGGCUGCCCACAGGGCCCUGGGGCCGCUUGCCUUCCACUUUUCAUUCAACAAACGUCAUUAGCUUCUGACCCUGUGCCAGGCACCAAGCCAGGCUCAAAAUGUAGAUGAGGAAAGACAGAGCCCAGGCUGCCUGAGCAGGAGCUAAGCACCAGUUAGUCAUUCUCUCCUGGCGGAGGGCCUACUGUGUGUCCCGGGCUGCAAGUGAACAACAGGACAAAACGCCCUGGCCUCGCGGAGCUGAUCCUGCCCUGCCCUGUAACUCGGGUGUCUCCGCGGGCCGAGCCUGGCACACAAUGAGAGCAGUGAGGCACAGAGAAGGUGACCGCCUGAGGUAUCUCGGUUGGUAAGCAGCAGCGCUGGGCUUGGAAUCCGGUUUGAACCUGCAGCAUGUGACCCGCUGUUCUCUGAAUGCUGCUGCUACACGAGGUUAUUCUGCUGCUAUGGAGCAGGCUGCUUGUAGCUGGGCCUGAAGCUGGCAUUUCCAGGACUUGGUGCUUCUGCUGAGGUUUUCUCCUCCUCUGAAUACACCCUGCCGGGGUUCAGCACCAGCUUUGCCCUAAGCACGUCCACUUCCUAGAAAGGGAGGGCAGCCCCCGACAGGGAGAGGUGUUUUGGUAUCUUGGCAAGGCAGUCAGGGCAGAGGGAGAAACAUGGGCAACAAAAGGCUUGCAGAUUCUUUCAUCUUUGUACUUUGUCCCGGGGAGAUAAGCGAGUCCAAAAUACAAAACACCCUUGGAUAUGUGGAUCCGUGCCACAAGUCAGGCUCGUAGAUUCUCCAUUUCCUGCCUGCUCUUGAGAGCUCUUGAGGAAGAGAGAAAAAGGGUGUGAGGGCUGUGGAGUAGGUCUCCCUAAAUUCCAUGCCCAUGAGCCGGUCCCCGUGGGCCUGGGGGCUCAGACAAAAGCCUUAUCACGAAGCAGAGAAGGAUCUCUUUGUUUAGAAAGAUUCCUCCCACCAUGCGUUAGGCAGCAUCCUUAGGACAAAGCCAGAAAAAUAAACUGAAUCCAGGCUUGCCUGAGCCCUUACUGCCCCCAAUGUGACAUUUUU